GGUUAAGCGACUAAGCGUACACGGUGGAUGCCCUGGCAGUCAGAGGCGAUGAAGGACGUGCUAAUCUGCGAUAAGCGUCGGUAAGGUGAUAUGAACCGUUAUAACCGGCGAUUUCCGAAUGGGGAAACCCAGUGUGUUUCGACACACUAUCAUUAACUGAAUCCAUAGGUUAAUGAGGCGAACCGGGGGAACUGAAACAUCUAAGUACCCCGAGGAAAAGAAAUCAACCGAGAUUCCCCCAGUAGCGGCGAGCGAACGGGGAGCAGCCCAGAGCCUGAAUCAGUGUGUGUGUUAGUGGAAGCGUCUGGAAAGGCGCGCGAUACAGGGUGACAGCCCCGUACACAAAAAUGCACAUAUUGUGAGCUCGAUGAGUAGGGCGGGACACGUGGUAUCCUGUCUGAAUAUGGGGGGACCAUCCUCCAAGGCUAAAUACUCCUGACUGACCGAUAGUGAACCAGUACCGUGAGGGAAAGGCGAAAAGAACCCCGGCGAGGGGAGUGAAAAAGAACCUGAAACCGUGUACGUACAAGCAGUGGGAGCACGCUUAGGCGUGUGACUGCGUACCUUUUGUAUAAUGGGUCAGCGACUUAUAUUCUGUAGCAAGGUUAACCGAAUAGGGGAGCCGAAGGGAAACCGAGUCUUAACUGGGCGUUAAGUUGCAGGGUAUAGACCCGAAACCCGGUGAUCUAGCCAUGGGCAGGUUGAAGGUUGGGUAACACUAACUGGAGGACCGAACCGACUAAUGUUGAAAAAUUAGCGGAUGACUUGUGGCUGGGGGUGAAAGGCCAAUCAAACCGGGAGAUAGCUGGUUCUCCCCGAAAGCUAUUUAGGUAGCGCCUCGUGAACUCAUCUCCGGGGGUAGAGCACUGUUUCGGCAAGGGGGUCAUCCCGACUUACCAACCCGAUGCAAACUGCGAAUACCGGAGAAUGUUAUCACGGGAGACACACGGCGGGUGCUAACGUCCGUCGUGAAGAGGGAAACAACCCAGACCGCCAGCUAAGGUCCCAAAGUCAUGGUUAAGUGGGAAACGAUGUGGGAAGGCCCAGACAGCCAGGAUGUUGGCUUAGAAGCAGCCAUCAUUUAAAGAAAGCGUAAUAGCUCACUGGUCGAGUCGGCCUGCGCGGAAGAUGUAACGGGGCUAAACCAUGCACCGAAGCUGCGGCAGCGACGCUGAUGCGUUGUUGGGUAGGGGAGCGUUCUGUAAGCCUGUGAAGGUGUGCUGUGAGGCAUGCUGGAGGUAUCAGAAGUGCGAAUGCUGACAUAAGUAACGAUAAAGCGGGUGAAAAGCCCGCUCGCCGGAAGACCAAGGGUUCCUGUCCAACGUUAAUCGGGGCAGGGUGAGUCGACCCCUAAGGCGAGGCCGAAAGGCGUAGUCGAUGGGAAACAGGUUAAUAUUCCUGUACUUGGUGUUACUGCGAAGGGGGGACGGAGAAGGCUAUGUUGGCCGGGCGACGGUUGUCCCGGUUUAAGCGUGUAGGCUGGUUUUCCAGGCAAAUCCGGAAAAUCAAGGCUGAGGCGUGAUGACGAGGCACUACGGUGCUGAAGCAACAAAUGCCCUGCUUCCAGGAAAAGCCUCUAAGCAUCAGGUAACAUCAAAUCGUACCCCAAACCGACACAGGUGGUCAGGUAGAGAAUACCAAGGCGCUUGAGAGAACUCGGGUGAAGGAACUAGGCAAAAUGGUGCCGUAACUUCGGGAGAAGGCACGCUGAUAUGUAGGUGAAGCGACUUGCUCGUGGAGCUGAAAUCAGUCGAAGAUACCAGCUGGCUGCAACUGUUUAUUAAAAACACAGCACUGUGCAAACACGAAAGUGGACGUAUACGGUGUGACGCCUGCCCGGUGCCGGAAGGUUAAUUGAUGGGGUCAGCGCAAGCGAAGCUCUUGAUCGAAGCCCCGGUAAACGGCGGCCGUAACUAUAACGGUCCUAAGGUAGCGAAAUUCCUUGUCGGGUAAGUUCCGACCUGCACGAAUGGCGUAAUGAUGGCCAGGCUGUCUCCACCCGAGACUCAGUGAAAUUGAACUCGCUGUGAAGAUGCAGUGUACCCGCGGCAAGACGGAAAGACCCCGUGAACCUUUACUAUAGCUUGACACUGAACAUUGAGCCUUGAUGUGUAGGAUAGGUGGGAGGCUUAGAAGUGUGGACGCCAGUCUGCAUGGAGCCGACCUUGAAAUACCACCCUUUAAUGUUUGAUGUUCUAACGUUGACCCGUAAUCCGGGUUGCGGACAGUGUCUGGUGGGUAGUUUGACUGGGGCGGUCUCCUCCUAAAGAGUAACGGAGGAGCACGAAGGUUGGCUAAUCCUGGUCGGACAUCAGGAGGUUAGUGCAAUGGCAUAAGCCAGCUUGACUGCGAGCGUGACGGCGCGAGCAGGUGCGAAAGCAGGUCAUAGUGAUCCGGUGGUUCUGAAUGGAAGGGCCAUCGCUCAACGGAUAAAAGGUACUCCGGGGAUAACAGGCUGAUACCGCCCAAGAGUUCAUAUCGACGGCGGUGUUUGGCACCUCGAUGUCGGCUCAUCACAUCCUGGGGCUGAAGUAGGUCCCAAGGGUAUGGCUGUUCGCCAUUUAAAGUGGUACGCGAGCUGGGUUUAGAACGUCGUGAGACAGUUCGGUCCCUAUCUGCCGUGGGCGCUGGAGAACUGAGGGGGGCUGCUCCUAGUACGAGAGGACCGGAGUGGACGCAUCACUGGUGUUCGGGUUGUCAUGCCAAUGGCACUGCCCGGUAGCUAAAUGCGGAAGAGAUAAGUGCUGAAAGCAUCUAAGCACGAAACUUGCCCCGAGAUGAGUUCUCCCUGACCCUUUAAGGGUCCUGAAGGAACGUUGAAGACGACGACGUUGAUAGGCCGGGUGUGUAAGCGCAGCGAUGCGUUGAGCUAACCGGUACUAAUGAACCGUGAGGCUUAACCUU
rnacentral:rRNA from 1 species